GGGGGGGCAAGGAUAAAGGUGAAGAAUUAGAGUGAAGAAGACUUUGAACUAGUAACAGUGGCAGCCGCGGUGACCAGACUUGUGUGACCCUUAGAGGCAGAAGGAGUCUGGAAGUAACCAGCUGCUGGUGGUAUUGGUUCAGCAGCUCAAUGAUAUCACAUUUGCAAAAUGACUGCCCCAGCUUCAGCCAUCCCCUCCUUGUCCAAGGCAGGAAAAAUGAGGUGGCGCAGUGGUUAAGAAUCCCCCUGCCAAUGCAGGGGACAUGGGUUCAAUCCCUGCUCCAGGAAGAUCCCACAUGCCUUGCAGCAACUAAGCCCGUGCGCCACAGCUAUUGAGCCUGCGCUUUAGAGCCCGUGAGCCACAACUAUUGAGCCCAUGUGCUGCAGCUACUGAAACCCAUGCGCCUAGAGCCCG